GGUGGUGCAUGGUUGUCGUCAGCUCGUGUCGUGAGAUGUUGGGUUAAGUCCCGCAACGAGCGCAACCCUUAAGCUUAGUUGCCAGCAUUCAGUUGGGCACUCUAAGGUGACUGCCGGUGACAAACCGGAGGAAGGUGGAGAUGACGUCAAAUCAUCAUGCCCCUUAUGACCUGGGCUACACACGUGCUACAAUGGACGGUACAAACGGUUGCCAACCCGCGAGGGGGAGCUAAUCCGAUAAAACCGUUCUCAGUUCGGAUUGUAGGCUGCAACUCGCCUACAUGAAGCCGGAAUCGCUAGUAAUCGUGGAUCAGCAUGCCACGGUGAAUACGUUCCCGGGUCUUGUACACAC
rnacentral:rRNA from 1 species